rnacentral:lncRNA from 1 species
UCGUACAUAUGAGAAUAAUAUCUCCUAACCUCCUAACAGAAUAAUCAUGAAUUAAUGAUUCACUUCCCCACACUCCUCUCCAUCAAAUACCCCUCUAUCUGAAUCACAUGGGUCCGUAUGCCACCUCACUAACCAACUUCGACUUUUUUAUUGAUAUCUCAUGCAAAAAAAUAUUAAAUACUAAACUACCACCAAUUCCAAAUUAAAUAUCAAACUACCAUUCUUUUUCUACUUUUUAAAAUUAUUCUUAGAAGUCGGUCUUGCCUCCAACAAUUUCUCAACUGAAUUUUUUUUUAAGGAAGGAAGAGAAAUCGGAUUCAUGUACACUGAUUUCUCACAUUAAUUUUUUUUUAAUUAUUAAAUUU